UGGGGAAUAUUGCACAAUGGAGGGAACUCUGCUGCAGCGACGCCGCGUGAGUGAUGAAGGAAUUCGUUUCGUAAAACUCUGUUCUAUGGGAAGAAAAGGACUGUACCAUAGGAGAAAGCUCCGGCUAAAUACGUGCCAGCAGCCGCGGUAAUACGUAUGGAGCGAGCGUUGUCCGGAAUUAUUGGGCGUAAAGGGUGCGCAGGCGGCUUUACAAGUUGGAUGUGAAAUAUUGUGGCUCAACCACAAACGUGCAUCCAAAACUGCAAAGCUUGAGUUAAGGAGAGGUAAGUGGAAUUCCUGGUGUAGCGGUAGAAGGCGUAGAUAUCAGGAGGAAUACCGGUGGCGAAGGCGACUUACUGGACUUAAACUGACGCUCAGGCACGAAAGCGUGGGGAGCAAACAGG
rnacentral:rRNA from 1 species